CAACCCAAAUCGAUUCGUCCUCAUCCUCUCGGCGCGCCCGAGCUCCUCUCUCCCCAUCCCGCUCUAGCCUAGCUCUGUUCUCGCCGCGAGCGCCUCCCCUCUCUGUCCAUGACCUGACCAUCCCGUUCAACAGAGCUGCUGCUGCUACGAGGCCGCCGGUACUGCAGCCGUGGACGGUGACGCAAGGCGGCGCCGCUCCCCGGACAUGCUGAUUUUUCUCAUGGUGUGGGCUGCGAAGGGUGCUGCAGCCGUCGAUGGUGUCGAUGGCCGGCGGGCUGCAACAACCGAUGAAGCAAAGAGGGACUCGCCGGCGUUGCGAUGAAGCAUCACUGGAACUGCAGGCGCCGGAGCUGCAAUGAAGCGCCGCGGGUCGUCGGAGCUCCGUCGUGGUUGCAAUGAAGCGUUGCUGGAGCUGCAAUGAAGCACCGCGGAAGCUCCGCCGGGGCUGCAAUGAAGCGUCGUGGGUCGUCGGAUCUUCGCCGAGACUGCAAUGAAGCCUCGCCGGAGUUGCAAUGAAGUGCUGCCGGAGCCAUUGAAGCUUCGCCGGGUAGGCAAUGAAGCGUGGUCGGCGCUGCCAUGGAGCACCGUUGGUAUUGCACGCUGCUUCCAUGGAGCUGUUGUGUAACGUGUAGUGUUGCCGUGGGAGCGCCUAAUCGUGUGUCAGGGAGCGUCAUAUCCAACGUGGAGGCAGCUUAAAUUUGGCUAAAUCAGCCGGCUGAUUGAUAGCAGCGGCCGUUCUGUAAUUGUGAGAUUGUAAGGUGGAGAAAAGGAGAAAAUAAAUAAAGAGGGAGGGAAGGAGAGGCUUGCCUUUGGUAAAA